GGGGAUAUAGCUCAGUUGGAAGAGUGUUGCCUUGCAUGCACAGACAGGGCCCUGGGUUCAAACACCAGCACCUCCC
rnacentral:tRNA from 1 species